rnacentral:rRNA from 1 species
AACGAACGCUGGCGGCAGGCCUAACACAUGCAAGUCGAGCGAGGACUUCGGUCCUAGCGGCGGAGGGGUGAGUAACGCGUCGGAACGUGCCCUUUGCUUCGGUAUAGCCCUGGGAAACUGGGAGUAAUACCGGAUGAGCCCUUUGGGGGAAAGAUUGAUCGGCGAAGGAUCGGCCGGCGUUGGAUUAGGUAGUUGGUGGGGUAAUGGCCUACCAAGCCGACGAUCCAUAGCUGGUUUGAGAGGAAGGUCGGCCACUCUGGAGCUGGGACACGGCCCAGACUCUAACGGGAGGCAGAAGAGGGGACUCUAAGAAAAUGGCGGAAACCCUGAACUAGCCAGGCCGCUGGAGCCAUAAAGGUAUUAGGGUUGUAAAGCCCUUUCAGCGGGGAAGAUAAUGACGGUACCAGCAGAAGAAGCCCCGGCUAACUCCGUG